GAUGAACGCUGGCGGCGUGCCUAAUACAUGCAAGUCGAGCGAAUGGAUUAAGAGCUUGCUCUUAUGAAGUUAGCGGCGGACGGGUGAGUAACACGUGGGUAACCUGCCCAUAAGACUGGGAUAGCUCCGGGAAACCGGGGCUAAUACCGGAUAACAUUUUGAACCGCAUGGUUCGAAAUUGAAAGGCGGCUUCGGCUGUCACUUAUGGAUGGACCCGCGUCGCAUUAGCUAGUUGGUGAGGUAACGGCUCACCAAGGCAACGAUGCGUAGCCGACCUGAGAGGGGGCACGGCCACACUGGGACUGAGACACGGCCCAGACUCCUACGGGAGGCAGCAGUAGGGAAUCUUCCGCACUGGACGAAAGUCUGACGGAGCAACGCCGCGUGAGUGAUGAAGGCUUUCGGGUCGUAAAACUCUGUUGUUAGGGAAGAACAAGUGCUAGUUGAAUAAGCUGGCACCUUGACGGUACCUAACCAGAAAGCCACGGCUAACCACGUGCCAGCCGCCGCUGUAA
rnacentral:rRNA from 1 species